CUAAGCAUAUCAAUAAGCGGAGGAAAAGAAAACUAACAAGGAUUCCCCUAGUAACUGCGAGUGAAGCGGGAAGAGCUCAAAUUUAAAAUCUGGCGUGCCUCUGGUCGUCCGAAUUGUAGUCUGAAGAAGCGUUUUCCGUGUUGGACCGUGUAUAAGUCUCUUGGAACAGGGCGUCAUAGAGGGUGAGAAUCCCGUCUUUGACACGGACUACCAAUGCUUUGUGAUGCGCUCUCAAAGAGUCGAGUUGUUUGGGAAUGCAGCUCAAAAUGGGUGGUAAAUUCCAUCUAAAGCUAAAUAUAGGCGAGAGACCGAUAGCGAACAAGUACCGUGAGGGAAAGAUGAAAAGCACUUUGGAAAGAGAGUUAAACAGUACGUGAAAUUGCUGAAAGGGAAACGCUUGAAGUCAGUCGUGUCUGCCAGGACUCAGCCUCGCUUCUGCUUGGUGCACUUUCUGGUUGGAUGGGCCAACAUCAAUUUUGACCGUUGGAGAAAGGCUCGGGGAAUGUGGCACUUUCGAGUGUGUUAUAGCCCUUUGUCGUAUACGACGGUUGGGAUUGAGGACUGCAGCACGCCUUUAUGGCCGGGGUUCGCCCAC
rnacentral:rRNA from 1 species